AGCGAACGCUGGCGGCAGGCCUAAUACAUGCAAGUCGAACGGAUCCUUCGGGAUUAGUGGCGGACGGGUGAGUAACACGUGGGAACGUGCCCUUUGGUUCGGAACAACUCAGGGAAACUUGAGCUAAUACCGGAUAAGCCCUUCGGGGGAAAGGAUUUAUCGCCAUUGGAGCGGCCCGCGUCUGAUUAGCUAGUUGGUGGGGUAAAGGCCUACCAAGGCGACGAUCAGUAGCUGAUCUGAGAGGAGAUCAGCCACACUGGGACUGAGACACGGCCCAGACUCCUACGGGAGGCAGCAGUAGGGAAUCUUGCGCAAUGGGCGAAAGCCUGACGCAGCGACGCCGCGUGAGGGAUGACGGCC
rnacentral:rRNA from 1 species